rnacentral:rRNA from 1 species
UACGGAGGGAGCUAGCGUUAUUCGGAAUUACUGGACGUAAAGCGCACGUAGGCGGCUUUGUAAGUUAGAGGUGAAAGCCUGGAGCUCAACUCCAGAACUGCCUUUAAGACUGCAUCGCUUGAAUCCAGGAGAGGUGAGUGGAAUUCCGAGUGUAGAGGUGAAAUUCGUAGAUAUUCGGAAGAACACCAGUGGCGAAGGCGGCUCACUGGACUGGUAUUGACGCUGAGGUGCGAAAGCGUGGGGAGCAAACAGG